ACUCCUACGGGAGGCAGCAGUGGGGAAUUUUGGACAAUGGGCGAAAGCCUGAUCCAGCAAUGCCGCGUGAGUGAAGAAGGCCUUCGGGUUGUAAAGCUCUUUUGUCAGGGAAGAAACGGUGAGAGCUAAUAUCUCUUGCUAAUGACGGUACCUGAAGAAUAAGCACCGGCUAACUACGUGCCAGCAGCCGCGGUAAUACGUAGGGUGCAAGCGUUAAUCGGAAUUACUGGGCGUAAAGCGUGCGCAGGCGGUUUUGUAAGUCUGAUGUGAAAUCCCCGGGCUCAACCUGGGAAUUGCAUUGGAGACUGCAAGGCUAGAAUCUGGCAGAGGGGGGUAGAAUUCCACGUGUAGCAGUGAAAUGCGUAGAUAUGUGGAGGAACACCGAUGGCGAAGGCAGCCCCCUGGGUCAAGAUUGACGCUCAUGCACGAAAGCGUGGGGAGCAAACAGGAUUAGAUACCCGAGUAGUCCCAUGAU
rnacentral:rRNA from 1 species